GGUAAAAUGACUGAAUUUAAGUGAUAAAUUGUAAAUUUAUUUAUAAGAUUAAUAUCUUUUUUACUA
rnacentral:tRNA from 1 species